UGCCAGCAGCCGCGGUAACACGGGGGGCGCAAGCGUUAUUCGGAAUUAUCGGGCGUAAAGGGCGCGCAGGCGGUCUUGUCCGUCAGGUGUGAAAGCUCGGGGCUCAACCCCGGAAGUGCACUUGAAACAGCAAGACUUGAAUACGGUAGAGGAGAGAGGAAUUCCUGGUGUAGAGGUGAAAUUCGUAGAUAUCAGGAGGAACACCGAUGGCGAAGGCAGUCACCUGGCUCGCAACUGACGCUGAGGCGCGAAAGCGUGGGCAGCAAACAGGAUUAGAUA
rnacentral:rRNA from 1 species